UACGGAGGGGGCGAGCGUUAUUCGGAAUUAUUGGGCGUAAAGGGCGCGUAGGCGGCCUUGUAAGUCAAAGGUGAAAUCCCUCGGCUCAACUGAGGAACUGCCUUUGAAACUGCAAGGCUUGAGGCCGGGAGGGGGUAGCGGAAUUCCCAAUGUAGCGGUGAAAUGCGUAGAUAUUGGGAGGAACACCAGUGGCGAAGGCGGCUACCUGGACCGGUUCUGACGCUGAGGCGCGAAAGCGUGGGGAGCGAACAGG
rnacentral:rRNA from 1 species